rnacentral:lncRNA from 1 species
ACGGCAACUGUGCAGAGAGGCUUGCAGGUCCAAACCACUGGUAGCAGCCCCUGGUAUAUCCAGGACAUCAGCACAUAGAACCAGUGAAAGGGUCCUCCCUCAUAGUGACGCAUGUCAUAGACUCAGAUUUAUACAAACAAAUGCUGAGCAAACCAUGAAGAGUCUCUGGUAUUUUCAACAAUAUCAUCACAGAGGAACUGUAUUGAUUUCCUUAAUGUCUGUGCUGUGAUAAAAGGUCAUCUCCCUACAAUGUUAUGAUACAGACCUCAAACCUACAAACAUGAGGAACUUCUGCCUCCAGGUUAACUGCUUACCCACUGUACAAGACACGUUACACACAGUCCAGGAGGCGGAGCUUCUGAGAUAUCUAGAAACAGCUUAGAGGCAAAAUGACAAAAUAAAGCAGCAACAACAAAUAAAACCAAUCUUCUCGAA